GCUUGAGAACCACUGAGAUAGAGCCUUCAAAGCCUGUCUGGACUACAAAGUGAAUUCAAGGCUGGAUGGCACAGCUCAGUGAAUCUCUGGCAGUACAGUUGAUUUGGAGAGGAGAAGAACCUACUCCAGGAUGCUGGCCUGCCACUGUCUGCCUGCCCUUAGGUCUGAUCCAUCUGGACUGGGCAUCAUCUGGCCAAGGGACCACUUCUCAGGACAGCAGCUUCACCAGAAGCCAUAUGAAGAGGGUGGACACACACCUCUGCGCAUGUGUGGAGGACAAUGUUGGGGAAUAGGUUCUCUCCUUCUGCCAUGUGGGCGGGUUCUGUGAUCAAACUCAGGUCUUCAGACUUGGAUCCACACACCUUUACCAGCGGUGCCACCUCCCCAGCCCUUCUGGAACGCAUCCUAACGUGCAUUCUCAGAAGGAAACAGGAGAAGGUUCUGGGGAUUGAAAUCAGCUCACCAGGCUUGCUGGCCAGUGUGUUAACCCUCUAAGCCAUCUUGCCAGCCCCAAGAUCAGAGAAAUGAAUAGGUCUUGCCUGAGUUCCCACAGCUGGCAAAUGGAAGGGCAUCUAAGGCCAGACUAAAGGAAGGAACAGGAUCUGGGUAAGGCCAAUUUGGGGCCCAAACACCCCUUGAAAUAGUUUCUGAGAGGGGCUUGCUGCUGUUCAUUUUGGAAAAGACGAAGUGGUAUACCUACC
rnacentral:lncRNA from 1 species